rnacentral:rRNA from 1 species
GAGAARAAACUAACCAGGAUUUCCCUAGUAACGGCGAGCGAACCGGAAAGAGCCCAGCUUGAAAAUCGUGGUGCCCCCCGUGCCUCGAAUUGUAGUCUGGAGAAGCAUCCUCUGCAGCGCACCGGACCCAAGUUCCCUGGAAAGGGACGUCAGAGAGGGUGACAACCCCGUCGAGUCCGGACCCCGUGCUGCUCCACGAGGUGCUGUCGUCGAGUCGAGCUGUUUGGGAAUGCAGCUCUAAGUGGGUGGUAAAUUCCAUCCAAGGCUAAAUAUUGGCAGGAGACCGAUAGCGAACAAGUACCGCGAGGGAAAGAUGAAAAGGACUUUGAAAAGAGAGUUAAAGAGUGCUUGAAAUUGCUGGGAGGGAAGCGAAUGGAAGCUGCGGGUGUGCCCCGGUUGGAUGUGGAACGGCCGUCCGGCUGGUCCGCCGCUCAACGCGGGGCACUGGUCAGCGUGGGCCAUCGCGGCGGGACAAGAGCGGGGUGUAGUUCCCCGCCUAUGCCGUUGUGGUGGCCGAGGAACGAAGCGUGCGCCCCUCCCAUCAUCGGGAGGGGCGUGGACCCCCCACUCCGUGGGUGGUCCAACUGCACGCUCGGGACGCUGGCGUAUUGAGCUCUUCAUCCGACCCGUCUUGAAACACGGACCAAGGAGUCUAACAUGUAUGCGAGCCGGUGGGCGGCAAACCCAUUGAGGCGCAAGUAAACUGACAGGUGGGACCCCCCUAAGAAGGGAGCACCAUCGACCGACCGUGAUCUUCUGUGAAAGGUUUGAGUGUGAGCAUACCUGUUGGGACCCGAAAGAUGGUGAACUAUGCCUGAGCAGGGCGAAGCCAGAGGAAACUCUGGUGGAGGCUCGUAGCGAUACUGACGUGCAAAUCGUUCGUCAGACUUGGGUAUAGGGGCGAAAGACUAAUCGAACCAUCUAGUAGCUGGUUCCCUCCGAAGUUUCCCUCAGGAUAGCUGGAGCUCGUGUGACCUCAGUUUUAUCAGGUAAAGCGAAUGAUUAGAGGCAUCGGGGGUGUAACACCCUCGACCUAUUCUCAAACUUUAAAUAGGUAAGCCGCCGGGGUUGCUUGGUUGAACCCCGGCACAGAAUGAGAGCYCCAAGKK